GCUACAUAUCUAAGUCCCCUAAAGGCACCAGAUCUAUUCUGAUCUUGGAAGCAAAGCAGGGUCAGUUCUGGGUAGUACUUGGAUGGAAGACUGCCAAUGACUCCCAGGAACUGUAAGCU
rnacentral:rRNA from 11 species